rnacentral:SRP_RNA from 1 species
GCCGGGCGCGGUGUCGCGCGCCUGUAGUCCCAGCUACUCGGGAGGCUGAGGCAGGAGGAUCGCUUGAGCCCAGGAGUUCUGGGCUGUAGUGCGCUAUGCCGAUCGGGUGUCGGCACUAAGUUCGGCAUCAAUAUGGUGACCUCCCGGGAGCGGGGGACCACCAGGUUGCCUAAGGAGGGGUGAACUGGCCCAGGUCGGAAACGGAGCAGGUCAAAACUCCCGUGCUGAUCAGAAAUACAUUUUUGUACACAAUAUGUAAAAUCAUUUUCUGCACAGUUGUAUGAGAACAAGAAUGUAUGUAAAUGUGUCUAU